UUGUAUUCUGUUCUUUGACGUCGAGUAGCGUUUUCUGACGCUAGUGCUGUUGAUUUGUUUCACUGUCGUAGAAGGCGAGUAUUUUGUGAGUUGGGUGCUCACUUGAUGCAGACGUGAGCUGAGACAAUUUCCGUGGUAAUGGCAAACUCAGUAACGGAGAUCUUCUCUUCCUAUCAGGAAUAUCUGAACAACGAACAAGAUUUGAGGGACGAAAUACGUAACAUUGUUAAGGACAUAGAACAACAUGCAAGAGAAAUACUAACAAUUCUUCAAGCUAUUCACCAAGAAGGGGGGAUUCGUGAAAUACCCAAGUGUUGUGAAGCUGCAAGAAAGCAGUUCAAUGAAGUGCAGCUCGCAUUUACUCGACUUGGCAACGCAAUCCCUGCUGAACAAUAUUAUCGUUUUAACGAUCACUGGCGAUAUGCUGUUCAACGGCUAGCAUUCCUUGCAGCCUUGACAAUUUACCUCGAGACGGGAGACUUGGCGACUCGUGAAACAGUAGCUGAAAUACUUGGACUUAAGACACGGAGAGAUGCAGGUUUUCAUUUAGAUCUGGAAGAUUACUUGAUGGGCCUGCUCCAGCUUUCAUCGGAACUGUCACGCUUAGCAGUCAACAGUGUAACCAUGGGCGACUAUGUUCGACCUCUUCAGAUUUCACGCUUUAUUGCUGAGCUGAGUGCCGGUUUUCGGCUUCUGAAUCUUAAAAAUGAUUCACUUAGAAAACGAUUUGAUGUUUUGAAAUACGACGUGAAGAAGAUAGAAGAAGUUGUUUACGAUUUGUCGAUACGUGGUUUGAAACCUCCUGAGGACCCCGAAAUCAAAUGCAGUGAAAGUGCUACGACGAAUUAGUAACUACACACCUGACUCCGGUGGAGGCCAAAGCAGAGAGCUGUGCUGUGUGCCUGGCCUGGCCUAAUGUGGUGGCCAAUCAUCCAACACGAAGUAUGUCUCAGCCGGCAUGGGUCCACUUACUUAUGUCGCUGAAAACUAGGAUCCACUGGCCAGCCUCUGCAUCAAGAUACUGGAAAGUUGAAUGUAGCUCCACUUCUUCAUCGACCGAUGGCACUACCAUUAGCUAAUUAUUAAAUAAAUCUGAAUAUUGAACCCAUUCUUCAGCCCUUUUUUACAAGCUAUGGCAUGUUUGUGUAGAAAUUUAUAUGCUGAUCCGCACUUGACAUAGUCAGAAUCAUGUUUCAUUUCUUUAAGAUUGGUGUUCAAUUUCGUUUGACUUAUGUUGUAGAUACAAGUACCCUCAUCAUGCAUAGUCUUUGUAAUUUAGGCACACUAGCGCUCGUUGUUUCUGAUAAAGGUGAAAUCUCUUAUAGCCAAACUAUGUCUGUUUGUGCUAACCAUUGUAUUUCUUGUAUUUUUUUUUUUGAAUAUUUUACUCACGAUGCGCAGCUUUUUAUGUCACCAUAUCUUAACAUUUUUUAUGUUACUUUUUAAUUCCUUGACAGUGCUGUGUAAAAUAAUAUUGUAUGUGGAUGACCAGUGAUUGCCACUGAAUCUUGGGAAGAGCUUUGUACUUUUAUAAUCUAUUUAUUACUGUACAAUUAUUGUUAAUAAUCUGCUAUUAAUUGUGAUUCAAUCUUGAUAAUCACUACAAUCUUAUUCUAUACCCAUUUCUUGUAGGAUUCUAUCCUCUAGAGUUUGCUUAAUGAUUGCUCUCCGGUGUAAGCUUAAUUAUAUGG